ensembl:lincRNA
CCCAGAUGGUGAGCAGUGCCUGGGGCUCCGCAUCCUUCCUCCCUGCCAAGGCCUCUGUGUGGACGCGUGGCUGCGCGGGCUGCCGGGCCACCUCAGGUGUCUCCGGUGACCUCCGUGCACCUGCUCCUUUCUUUUCCAUCUGCUGCCGGGAGGCCUCAGACUUCCAGGAAGAGGUCACUGACGUGUGCUUUGAUUUUUAUGGCCAGAUCCACAGGAAUGAUUACCGUUCGUUUCAUCUUCUCCUGAGAAGAGGCUUUGUGUGUUUGGAAAAGAACAGUGUGUCGGCAAGGUGGGGCUCGCUGAAUCCGAGGAACGCGGUGGCCACGCCUGUCCAGCCCUGCCGUCCUGGAGGUGGGCUGGGCCCUCCUCUCCCAGCUUGUUUCUCCCAUGCUGCGCACACGUGCGCAUGCGUGCACACUCUCUCUCACACCCCCUUGCCCCUCCCCUUCAGAGCAUCCUGCCUCGGUCGUGACCCACGGCCCUGCGGCUCUGGGCCUUGGGCACAGCCAGUGCUCAGAUGCAGCGACCCUGAGCAGAGGGCAGCCAGGAGCGAGGGCGCAGAGAACAUGGGCAACGCUGUCCUGCGGGCGCUCAGUUGUGUGGGAAAGAAUCCGAGGAAGAACAGGAAGGGGAAUCGAGGCGUGAAAAGGAGACGGCAGGAAAUGACCACAUCUGAAGGAGAAAGUCAAGGACAAGAUGGGAAAAGUAAAGAAUUUCCCUCCACUUCUAAUCAGGAGCAGGCUGAGGCUGGCGAUGGCUGCGAGGACGUGUGCUACACCGUCAUCAAGCACGCGGCCCUGCGCUGGCCGUCGCUGACCUCCACUGACCAUGGCUAUGAGAAUGUGGAGGCUGCCCAGCAGGGAGGCAGGCGACCCCGGGAGGAGUCGGAAACGGAGUACGCCCUGCUCAGGACUGCUGCUGCCGCUGCCGCUUCCUGCACACCCGAGCACGACUACGAGCUCGUGCUCCCACAGUGACCCCUGGCUGCUGUCCCUUCCGGCCCUGGACGUGCGGCAGGAGGGCACCUGCACUGUGGCACCCUGCUCGGUGGCACUGCUGCGGUCUGGGGCGGGCACCUGCGUGGAUGGAGUGACUGCCAGAGCUGGUGUUCUUUUGUAAAUGCUGAGGCACUGAGUCGGUGAACAGCUUUGCUAGGAUGAAAAGGACACACAAACCCCAGUCCGGCUUCUCCAGGGCCGGUCGUCCUCUGCAAAUUCAGACGCGGAUGACCCUCCGGGGAAGAGCUUUGCUUGGGAGGUGUAAUAAACUUUGAAAUGUAAGACUGGAGCAGGCUCUGCUACCUUGAUAUUUACUUCAGUUUGUCUGAGGAAUCUGGUUUUGUGGUCAAAGUUCACAAACCAUUUUUUUUAAACGUUGUCCUUUGUGAGAGGAGGCGCUGAGCGUGUCUCAGGGAGAGGUGGGGAAGCACAGGCCCAUCCUCGUCCUUUCUGUCUGAUAGUAAGUCGGAGGGUUCUACUCAAAGAUCAACAGAAAAUGAAAAGCAAAAGUGAACUUGUACUUAAUGGCUGUGUUCACAGCCUACCGUCAAUUGAACUCUUGGUCAGAUACCUCUUCUGAAGGAACGGUGUCUGGUUUUAAAACCCCAGAAAUGUGGUGAAUCAUGCCAUCUGUUUUUACUGUCUCAAUGAAUUUUUACAUGGUGAAUAAGUACCCAGAGGCCAUAAAAGUCAGAGUGUUCCCGA